GUUUCCUCACUCAAAACCACCACGAAGAAGCCUUGAGCCUCUGGUUUUUCUCCUACACUUUUGGUACACUCACCUAUGUAACCAAACCCCCUUACUCUCAUUUACUUCAUCAAAUCAUAGCUCCUGAUAUCUUAAUCUCUCCAAAUCCAACUUCAAAGAGUUUCCAACUCGUUGGUUCUAUAUUACAGUAACAGAGAAAAUGAGUUCAGCAAGCAAAGCGUGGUUGGUUGCAGCAGCUGUUGGAGGUGUUGAGGCGUUGAAAGAUCAAGGGUUCUGUAAAUGGAACUACACCUUAAGAUCGCUGCACCAACAUGCCAAGAACCAUGUCAGAUCAGCCUCUCAGGCCAAGAAGCUUUCUUCUUCAUCUUCUGCCAUGAUCUCGAAUAAAGUCAAGGAAGUGAAAGCAAAACAGUCUGAGGAAUCUCUAAAAAAAGUCAUGUAUUUGAUCAGCUGCUGGGGUCCUUACUAAAGCUAAGAAGCAAGAUGAAAUUGAGAAACUUAUCGUGAUAGGAUUACCCUGAUCGUUGCAAGUUGAUGUAAAUAUUUGUAAAUUUUGGUGCUGACUUAAUGGAAUCAAACUAUAUUAUUUUUUCAUUAAUUUUUCCUUGCACCAUUUAUUUUUUCUGUUUUCCCCCUUCUCUUGGUAGCACCUCGUGUCACAAGUGAAAAAGGAUCAUGACAAGGUUCAAGUUUAGUGCAUCACAGCAUUUGCUAAGGAUAUUUAAAUCAAUUGCAAUCUCAAGAUAGAAUCGAAAUUCUAAUUUCGUUACGAAAAUCUAUUUUAAAAAAGCUAGGCCUGCAACUUUGACUGGUUUUUUAAUGACAUCCAUGGAUUAAGAAAUAAUUAUUGGAUUAAAACCUUACCCCGUUUUUGGAGCCAAAUGGAAGUUAUAUAUAUAUAUAUAUAUAUAUAUAUAUAUAUAUAUAUAUAUAAUCUGUUAAAUGAAGAUCAACAGGGCUUCUUUACUUCAAUGUCAGAACUUUUGAGCAUUCAAGAAACUUGGAAUGUUGCAAAAUGGUUGAACUUGACAGAAAAGAAAUAUUUUUUUUUGAAGUGAAUAAUGUUUAGUAACGUAAUGAGAAUCCAUUUGAUCACUGCUCAAGUCGUUUAUGCAUCAAAAUUUUGCUUGAUGACAUGUCUGGAUAAGGAGAGCUUGAGAGUUGAGAACUUGGUAUUUUGUGACACACGCAAUGGAUCUACAAUUAUUGUCUGUCCUUUACUCAAGCCCCACUCCUGAAGAAAAACAGGAGGAUUUGCCUCCUAUACUUGAGGCUCACCUCGGAGUUUUAUAAAGCAAACCGUGUGCCUCUUUAUCAAAACAAGGCCCCGCUCUAGCAACAUGAUAAGAUGCAUGAAAAAGAAAUGUAUUUAAUGCCACCAAGUGGUCCUUGAUGGACAUAAAGAUUCAGUCCCAUCAUAGCUGGUGGUUUGGCUCCCUUAAGCUAAAACCACCAGCUACAGCUUGUUCCUAGCUUCCGGUUUCCUUCAAAUUUCUGGCACCUAGUCCGCUACUCUCUUUAUAAGCAAAUCCCAGUUUGCCAUUUACACCAUCGACACGAAUUCUCAAUUACAUCUCAUCCUUUUCAACUAAAAAUCUCACAUCAACGAGUUUCCAACUAUUGUUCUAUUUUAUAUUACAGAGAAAAUGAGUUCAGCAAGUAAAGCUUGGUUGGUAGCUGCUGCUAUUGGAGGUGUUGAGGCCUUGAAAGACCAAGGCUUCUGUAGGUGGAACUACACAUUGAGAUCGCUACACCAACAUGCCAAGAACCAUGUCGGGUCAAUUUCUCAGGCUAAUAAGAAGCUCCCUUAUUCAUCUUCUGCCAUUAUUUCAAAUAAAUUCAAGGAAGAGAAGAUGAAACAGUCAGAGGAGUCUCUAAGAAAAGUCAUGUAUUUGAGUUGUUGGGGUCCUAACUGAUACUCUCAAGAAAAAGGAAAUUCUGAGGAAAUCAGUUCAUAGGAUUAGAGUAAAUUUUUGCAAGUUGAUUUAAACUGUAAAUGCUUGUGCUGACAAUCAAAUAUAUCUCAUUUUAUUGGCAAAAUUUUGGGAAAAUGGCCUUAAAGUAACAUUAACAAAGGAUAUGGCUCAUGUUAAAAAAAACACCAGCAACUCAAUUGGAGGAGGAGUUGUAUCACAGAAGCUAAAUAUCUUGAUAAGUUGAUAAAUUAGGACAAAUCUUAAACUGGAAUUCUCAAUUUCAGUUUGGCCCAGAAGAAAAUUAGUUUAGGAAUAUUUCUUUACUCACAAGUGUUCACGGCAGGGUGAUGAUCACUGUAUGUGAAAUGAAAACGCUGUGUUUGUUUUCCGGAAAGUGGUUUCCGGGAAAGCACUUUCCAAACUUUCUCGUGUUUGUUUGCCAGUAGGAAAGUUGGUCAAUGGAAAACACUUUCCAGUAAAAGGAAAAUUUGGCUUGGUUUUCAGGAAAGUGUUUUCCUGAAAAAUUUGAGGGGAAAACACUUUCCAGAAGUUGUGAAAAUUUUAGAAAUGUCAUUAUUUGCUGAUUAUAUCAAAUUUGAUCCUCAAACUUUUGAUUGCUAUAUAUAUUUUGUUUUGAAUAUUUAUUUUUCAAUUUCAUCUCUUAAAAUUUUAUUUUUAUAUUAACUUUGGUCCUUAUUUUUAUAAUUGUUAUUUGCUUUUUUCUUACCAUUUUUUUAUUGAAAUUUUUUAUUUAUCAAAUUUGAUCCUCAUUCUUUUUGAUUGUUACUUAUUUUAUUUGAAAUAAUUUAUGAAAUGUUGAUUAUUAUUAUUUUAAUUUCUUCAUUUUUCAUUUUUUUUUAUUUUUUUAGAUUUGAUCCCUAUUAUUUUGAUUAUUAUUUGUUUUAUUUGAGAUAAUUUAUGAAAUUAUAUUUUUUUUUUUCAAUUUCAUUCUCAUUCAACUUUUUAAUUUGUAAGAUUUGUUCCUCAUUAUUUUAAUAAACUUGAGAAAAAUAAAAUAUUAAUAAGUUAUUUUCCAGCUCAUUUUUCAUGACAUAACUAAACACUGGAAAGUGUUUUCCAGUUCAUUUUCCAUAACACUACCAAACAUCGGAAAAUACUUUCCCGGAAUUCACUUUCCAGGAAUUCACUUUCCUCGGAAUUCACUUUCCAAAAGAAAUUCACUUUCCUGCAAACAAACGGAGCCUUAAAUUACAAAAGAAUUGUAUAAAUAAUUAACCCGAAGAAUUUUUGAAUAAUUAUAUGAUGAAUUUAUGAAAAACUUUCACACAGAAAUUGGGUUUUUAAAGACAACAAUUAUAGAUGAGAGAUGUGUGUGGGGGUCUAAAUAUGGGAUUAGCCUUAAAAAAUAUCGAUCUUGGGACGUGAAGAAUAUUUUCAAACCAAUUGAUUUGGUGAAAACUUUGGUGUUAUCAUUGAUGUUGGCAAAACGUUAUCUAGAAAAAGCUAUUGGUAUAGAAAAUAUAUACUUGAUUUUCAUAGACAUGUGAUUAUUGGCUUGAUGUUUGGAUCACGACCCCAACAAUAACAAGGAGGCGAAGGUUUAUUGCCAUUUGGGUCAACAAAAACAAUUUUGUUCUGGUAAAAAUGUAUGCCAUCAUUUUCCUCUCAUGUUUUUUAAACAAAUAUGCUCGAAAGACAUGAAAAGAAAAGAAAAAAUUAGAAAAAGAAAACUUGUUUUGUAUAGAGUUUACAAGUGUAGAUAGUUUUUGUUAAAUUUUUGCAAGAAAGAGCAAAGUUUAAUUAUCUUGCUUAGAGGUAGUUUAGUUAAAAAAAAGAGUGGAAAAGUAAGCAAUAUGAUAUCUGAAUGAGUGUACAAGUUCAAGACGCCUUACAUGAGAAGUCCAAAUUUAAUUAUCAUGUUUUGGAGACAGGUAGUCAAAAAGACUUGAAGAAAGAUUUGUGAUUUUUUUUAUAGACAAGUGGUUACAGAAUAAUGAAAAAGGAUAUCUUAUACUUUAGAAAAUAUAUGAUCAUAGUGUUUUGGAGACAUUUAUGAAGAUUCAAUUAAGACAUGAAGAUUUUAGUAUGAAAAAUUAAAGAAGCUAGAGUUUAUUUUCAAUAUAAGUUAUAUAUUUAUUACACUGAAUAGGCUAAUUUGUUUGUUUUGUUUAUUGUAAUUUCAUGCUUGCAAGAGUUAUUUUUCAAUGCUAUUGUGUAAUCUUUUAUAUAUAUAUAUAUAUUCAAUUACUAUCUUUGCUUAUUUUUUUAUUGUCUAAUUAAAAUAAAACUAACUUAUUAAAUUUAAAUGAGGCUAUAACCUGAGUUAUUUGUUUUUUUUUAUUUCUUUUAAAUAUGCUUGUGACACCUAGAUUAUAGUUGUCUUUUUUUAUUUUUUAUUUUUUAUUUUAAUUGAUACCUUUUUAAAAAAAUAUUUUUUUUUAAUUUAUAUUUGCAUUAAUAUCUCUUCUCAAUUAUUUUUUAUUUUUAAUUGAUUUUUCCUUCAAUUUCAUCCAUAUCCUUUGGUUUAAUUUGAUUUUUAAAUCAAACUUAUUUCUUAUUCUUUUGAUAUUUUUAAACCUUUUAUAAAUUGAUUUUUUUUCAAUUACAUUCCUUGGCAUUUAAUUUCAAUUUAUUUUUCUAUUAAAUUUGGUUCCCGUUAUUUGUUUUUCUUCUUGUCUUUUAUGGGGUUAGUCUCAUCCUCAUUACAAGGGUCACAAGUUUCGAAGGUUAACAUUGGUUGACUUUGAUUUUUUUAAGUUUUUUUAUCAAAUUGAUUUAUUUUUAAUUUUAUCCUAUAAUAUUUAAUUUUUUUUAAUUAGUUUUUUUUUAUCUUUUUUUAUAUGGAGUUAUCUCAAUCCUAUACCCAUAGUCUUAGAGUUAGUGGCUUAAUCCAAGUUAACUCGGAUUUGUUUUCAUAUAUAAAUAUAAUUUUCUUAAUUCCAUUGCUAAAGAUCUUUUUAUUGAGAAUUUUGCUUCGUUGUUUUUUUUGUUUGCCUUCCAAUGCAGUCGGUCUCAGUCUCAUGACCACGGUUGUGGAUUUUAAAAGUUAAUAUUUGUUAAUUUUGAUUUGUUUAGGUUUUUUUUUUUUUCAAUUUCAUCAUUCAACAUUUAAAUUUUUAGGAUUGAUCUUCAUGCUUUUUUUUUAUUCACUUUCUUUUUUAUGGGGCUAUCUCAAUCUAAUGCCCAAAAUCGUGAAGUUAGUGAGUUAACCUAGCAGAGACAAGUUUGAUAUUAGAAUAAAUGGAUUUAAAUAAUAUUUUAUUUUUAACUUUUUCGUAUUAAAAUGAUUUGAAUAUAUAUAUAUAUAUAUAUAUAUAUAUAUUUUAAAAGCAAAAACAAACUAGGUAUAAUAAUAAAAACUUAAUUUAUCUCCAUUUUUUUAAUGACCAAGUUGUAUUCCAAUAAUUGAAGGGGAAAUAGAGACCACUUGUCUUCUAAAAAAUACCGUUGGCCUUCGCUGGUUUCCUCACUCAAAACCACCACCAAGAAGCCUUUAGCCUCUGGUUUUUCUCCUACAAUUUUGGUACACUCACCUAUAUAACCAAACCCCUUUACUCCCAUUUCCUUCAUCAAAUCAUUGCUCCUGAUAUCUUAAUCUCUUCAAAUCCCACUUCAAAGAGUUUCCAACUCGUUGGUUCUAUAUUACAGUAACAUGAAAAAUGAGUUCAGCGAGUAAAGCUUGGUUGGUUGCAGCAGCUGUUGGAGGUGUCGAGGCCUUGAAAGACCAAGGGUUCUGUAGGUGGAGCUACACCUUGAGAUCCCUUCACCAACAUGCCAAGAACCAUGUCAGAUCAGCCUCUCAGGCCAAGAAGCUUUCUUCUUCAUCCUCUGCCAUGAUCUCGAAUAAAAUCAAGGAAGUGACAGCAAAACAGUCGGAGGAAUCUCUAAGAAAAGUCAUGUAUUUGAGCUGUUGGGGUCCUUCCUAAAGCUAAGAAGCAAGAUGGAAUUGAGAAAAUUAUCGUGAUAGGAUUACCCUGAUCGUUGCAAGUUGAUGUAAAUAUUUGUAAAUUUUGGUACUGACUUAAUGGAAUCAAACUAUAUUAUUUCUUGAUUAAUUUUUCCUUGCACCAUUUAUUUUUUUCUGUUUUCCCACUUCUUUUGGAAAGGAUCAUGAAAAGGUUCAAUUUUAGUGCAUCACAGCAUUUGCUAAGGAUAUUUGAAUCAAUUGCAAUCUCAAGAUAGAAUCUAAAUUCUAAUUUGGUUAAGAAAAUCUAUUAAAACAAAAUCCAGGUCUAACUUUGACUGGUUUUUUAAUGACAUAUAUAUUAUCUGUUAAAUGAAGAUCAAUAGGGCUUAUUUAUUUAAAUGUCAGAACUUUUGAACUUUCAAGAAAAUUGGAAUGUGGCAAAAUGGUUGAACCUGACAAAAAAAAAAAGUAUUUUCUUGAAUAUCUGAAAAAUGAAUUAGCUCGUAAGAAAUAAUUAUUUUGAAGUGAAUAGUGUUUCGUAACAUUAGAGAAUCCACUUGCUCACUGCUCAGGUCGUUUAUGCGUCAAAAUUUUGCUGGAUGCCAAGUCUUUAGAACGCUCGAUUAAGGAGAGCUUGAGAGUUCAGAACUUUGUAUUUUGUGACGCAUGCAAUGGAUCUACAAGACUACAAGUAUUGUCUGUCCUUUACUCAAGCCCCACUGCUGAAGAAAAACAAGUGGAUUUGCCUCCUAUACUUGAGGCUCACUUCGGAUUUUUAUAAAGCAAACCGUGUGCUCUUUACCAAAACAUGGCCCCGCUCUAGCAACAUGAUAAGAUGCAUGAAAAAGAAAUGUAUUUAUAAUUCCACCAAGUGGUCCUUGAUAGACAUAAAGAUUCAGUCCCAUCAUAGCAUAACCACGAUAAAAUAAUACCACUGGCUCCCUUAAACCAAAACCAGCAACCACAGCUUGCUCCUUGCUUCCGGUUUCCUCCCAAUUUCUGGCAAUUAGUUCCCAACUCUCUUUAUAAGCAAAUCCCAGUUUGCCAUUUACACCAUCGACACGGAUUCUGAAUCACAUCUCAUCGUUUUCAACUAAAAAUCCCACAUCAAAGAGUUUCCAACUAUUGUUCUAUUUUAUAUUACAGAGAAAAUGAGUUCAGCAAGUAAAGCUUGGUUGGUAGCUGCUGCUAUUGGAGGUGUUGAGGCCUUAAAAGACCAAGGCUUCUGUAGGUGGAACUACACAUUGAGAUCGCUACGCCAGCAUGCCAAGAACCAUGUCGGGUCAAUUUCUCAGGCUAAUAAGAAGCUCCCUUGUUCAUCUUCUGCCAUUAUUUCAAAUAAAUUCAAGGAAGAGAAGGCGAAACAGUCAGAGGAGUCUCUAAGAAAAGUCAUGUAUUUGAGUUGCUGGGGUCAAAACUGAUACUCUCAAGAAAGAAGAAAUUCUGAGGAAAUCAGUUCAUAGGAUUAGAGUAAAUUUUUGCAAGUUGAUUUAAACUGUAAAUGCUUGUGCUGAUUGCCAAUCAAAUAUAUCUCAUUUUAUUGGCAAAAUUUUGGGAAAAUGGCCUUAAAGUAACAUUAACAAAGGAUAUGGCUCAUGUUAAAAAAAAAACCAGCAACUCAAUUGGAGGAGGAGUUGAUAAAUUAGGACAAAUCUUAAACUGGAAUUCUCAAUUUCAAUUUGGCCCAGAAGAAAAUUAGUUUAGGAAUAUUUCUUUACUCACAAGUGUUCACGGCAGGGUGAUGAUCACUGUAUGUGAAAUUAAACAGGCCUUUAAAUUACAAAAGAAUUGUAUAAAUAAUUAACCCGAAGAAUUUGUGAAUAAUUAUCUGAUGAAUUUAUGAAAAACUUUCACACAGAAAUUGGGUUUUUAAAGACAACAAUUAUAGAUGAGAGAUGUAUGGGGGUCUAAAUAUGGGAUUAGCCUUAAAAAAUAUCGAUCUUGGGACGUGAAGAAUUUCAAACCAAUUGAUUUGGUGAAAACUUUGGUGUUAUCAUUGAUGUUAGCAAAACGUUAUCUAGAAAAAGCUAUUGGUAUAGAAAAUAUAUACUUGAUUUUCAUAGACGUGUGAUUAUUGGCUUGAUGUUUGGAUCACGACCCCAACAAUAACAAGAAGGCGAAGGUUUAUUGCCAUUUGGGCCAACAAAAACAAUUUUGUUCUGGUAAAAAUGUAUGCCAUCAUUUUCCUCUCAUGUUUUUUAAACAAAUAUGCUCGAAAGACAUGAAAAGAAAAGAAAAAAAUUAGAAAAAGAAAACUUGUUUUGUAUAGAGUUUACAAGUGUAGAUAGUUUUUGUUAAAAGUUUUUGCAAGAAAGAACAAAGUUUAAUUAUCUUGCUUAGAGGUAGUUUAGUAAAAAAAAAGAGUGGAAAAGUAAGCAAUAUGAUAUCUGAAUGAGUGUACAAGUUCAAGACGCCUUACAUGAGAAGUCCAAGUUUAAUUAUCAUGUUUUGGAGACAGGUAGUCAAAAAGACUUGAAGAAAGAUUUGUGAUUUUUUUUAUAGAUUUGUGAUUUUUUUUAUAGACAAGUGGUUAUAGAAUAAUGAAAAAGGAUAUCUUAUACUUUAAAAAAUAUAUGAUCAUGGUGUUUUGGAGACAUUUAUGAAGAUUCAAUUAAGACAUGAAGAUUCUAGUGUGAAAAAUUAAAGAAGCUAGAGUUUAUUUUCAAUAUAAGUUAUAUAUUUAUUACACUGAAUAGGCUAAUUUGUUUUUUUUGUUUAUUGUAAUUUCAUGCUUGCAAGAGUUAUUUUUCAAUGUUAUUGUGUAAUAUAUAUAUAUAUAUAUAUUCAAUUACUAUCUUUGUCUAUUUUUUUAUUGUCUAUUUAAAAUAAAACUAACUUAUUAAAUUUAAAUGAGGCUAUAACCUGAGUUAUUUGUUUUUUUUAUUUCUUUUAAAUGUGCUUGUGACACCUAGAUUAUAGUUGUCUUUUUUUUAUUUUUUUAUUUUAUUUUUUAUUUUAAUUGAUACCUUUUUUAAAAAAUAUAUAUAUUUUUUAAUUUAUAUUUGCAUUAAUAUCUCUUCUCAAUUAUUUUUUAUUUUUAAUUGAUUUUUCCUUCAAUUUCAUCCAUAUCCUUUGGUUUAAUUUGAUUUUCAAAUCAAACUUAUUCCUUAUUCUUUUGAUAUUUUUAAACUUUUUUAUAAAUUGAUUUUUUUUCAAUUACAUUCCUUGGCAUUUAAUUUCAAUUGAUUUUUCUAUUAAAUUUGGUUCCCGUUAUUUGUUUUUCUUCUUGUCUUCUAUGGGGUUAGUCUCAUCCUCAUUACAAGGGUCACGAGUUUCGAAGGUUAACAUUGGUUAACUUCAAUUUUUUUAGGUUCUUUUAUCAAAUUGAUUUAUUUUUAAUUUUAUCCUUUAAUAUUUGAUUUUUUUAAUUAAUUUUUUUUAUCUUUCUUUAUAUGGGGUUAUCUCAAUUCUAUGCCCAUAGUCUUAGAGUUAGUGCCUUAAUCCAAGUUAAAUCAUAUAUACAUAUAAUUUUCUUAGUUCCAUUGCUAAGGAUCUUUUUGUUGAGAAUUUUGCUUCAUUGUUUUUUUUUGUUUGCCUUCCAUGCAGUCGGUCUUAGUCUCAUAACCACGGUUAUGGAUUUUAAAAGUUAACAUUUGUUAAUUUUGAUUUGUUUAGGUUUUUUUUAAAAUUGAUUUUUUUUUAAUUUUAUCAUUCAACAUUUAAAUUUUUGGGAUUGAUCUUCAUACUUUUUUUUUUCACUUUUCAUUUCAUGGAGCUAUCUCAAUCUAAUGCCCAAAAUUGUGAAGUUAGUGAGUUAAUCUAGAUUGACCAAAAUCUUUUUUUAUUGAUUUUUUUAAAAUAUUUAUUUUUAGUUGUCACUCAAUAUUAGAUUGUUUGAGUUUCAUAUUUUUUUCAAUUUGUUUUUGUUAACAAUUCUUUGUAUUGUUUAUUGGCACGAAUAAUCUUUUAAUUAAACAAAAAGUUUAUUCUAUAAAACAAAGUUAUUGAACAUAAGUAAGUAGAUAACAUGGGUUGCAUGAUCAAAUAUUUUAAUCUUAAUAAGUCAUUGAUUAAAUAUUAAUUUAUUUAAUUAAAUAUAUGUAUAAAUAUUUUAAUAUAUGAUUGAGAAUUUUUUAUAUAAAAAACAUGAAGAAAAACUUAUUUAUUCUUUAUUUUUUUAUUAAAAAAUUAAGAUAUAUAAUCCUCUACGAAGCGCUGUUGAAAUAGUUUAUUGUAGUUUUCUAGACCAUCACAAUUGUUUACAGACAGUCCUCACUAUUACUUCAAUUGUCUUCAAAAACAGUCUUGCCCAAAACAAAACAUUGAUUGAUAAGUGACAAACCCCAUUUGUUUAAUGCGUGUGACUCAGAGCAGAGACAAGUUUGAUAUUAGAAUAAAUGGAUUUAAAUAAUAUUUUAUUAUUUUUUAAAAAAAUAUUUUUAACUUUUUCAUAUUAAAAUGAUUUAAAAAUAAUAAUAAAAAAUAUAUUUUUUUUUAAAGCAAAAACAAACUAGGUAUAAUAAAAAAACUUAAUUUAUCUCCAUUUUUUUAAUGACCAAGUUGUAUUCCAAUAAUUGAAGGGGAAAUAGAGACCACUUGUCUUGUAAAAAAUACCGUUGGCCUUUGCUGGUUUCCUCACUCAAAACCACGACGAAGAAGCCUUGAGCCUCUUGUUUUUCUCCCACACUUUUGGUACACUCACCUAUAUAACCAAACCCCUUUACUCCCAUUUACUUCAUCAAAUCAUAGCUCCUGAUAUCUUAAUCUCUCCAAAUCCCACUUCAAAGAGUUUCCAACUUGUUGGUUCUAUAUCACAGUAACAGAGAAAAUGAGUUCAGCAAGCAAAGCUUGGUUGGUUGCAGCAGCUGUUGGAGGUGUUGAGGCGUUGAAAGACCAAGGGUUCUGUAGGUGGAACUACACCUUGAGAUCCCUGCACCAACAUGCCAAGAACCAUGUCAGAUCAGCCUCUCAGGCCAAGAAGCUUUCUUCUUCAUCCUCUGCCAUGAUCUCGAAUAAAGUCAAGGAAGUGAGAGCAAAACAGUCUGAGGAAUCUCUAAGAAAAGUCAUGUAUUUGAGCUGUUGGGGCCCUUACUAAGCAAAGAAGCCACAUGAAAUUGAGGAAAUUAUCGUGAUAGGAUU
rnacentral:lncRNA from 1 species